GUCUCAGACAGAGAGAGAAAUUGACAAACUGUACCUAGCUAGCUCUAACAACAACUCAUUACUAUUAAAGCAAGCAAGAAGCAAUGGCAGUGGCAGCAACCAAGCAGCAUUCAAGACACUAAUGGCGGACUCACUGUCGGUCCACAUCUAUGAUCAUCUUCCGUCCAAGGAACAUCUUAUCAGAACUCGUUAUGGUUCUGUUUCUGUUGCUGUGUAUGGAGACCAGGACAAACCAGCUCUUAUUACUUACCCUGAUUUGGCUUUAAAUUAUGUGUCCUGCUUUCAGGGGCUAUUGUUUUGUCCGGAAAUUGGUUCAUUGCUGCUCCACAAUUUCUGCAUAUAUCAAAUUAGUCCACCUGGGCAUCAGUUAGGAGCCGGUGCAAUUGAUCCAGAUGAUCCACUUCUCUCUGCUGAUGACUUAGCUGAUCAAUUAGCUGAAGUACUCAACUUUUUUGGUCUUAGUGCAGUCAUGUGUAUGGGAGUAACGGCUGGAGCUUACAUUCUUACCUUAUUUGCUAUGAAGUAUAGAGAACGUGUUCUUGGUUUGAUACUUGUUUCUCCUCUUUGUAAAGCACCAUCUUGGACUGAAUGGUUGUACAACAAGGUCUUGUCGAAUUUACUCUACUUUUAUGGCAUGUGUGGGGUGGUAAAAGAAAUAUUGCUAAAGCGAUACUUUAGUAAGGAAGUUCGAGGCAGUGGUAAUUUGCCAGAGUUGGAUAUAGUUCAAGCAUGCCGAAGGUCCUUAGAUGAGAGGCAGAGUUUGAAUGUGUGGCGGUUCCUUGAAGCUAUUAAUGGGAGAUCUGACAUAAGUGAAGGAUUGAGAAAAUUGCAGUGUCGCUCACUAAUUUUUGUUGGGGACAUGUCUCCUUUUCACUCUGAGGCUCUCCACAUGAAUUCUAAGUUAGAUAGACGAUUUAGUGCCUUGGUCGAGGUUCAAGCUUGUGGGUCGAUGGUAACAGAGGAGCAACCCCAUGCGAUGCUAGUACCAAUGGAGUACUUUCUCAUGGGAUAUGGUUUGUAUAGACCAUCCAAACUAAGUGUUAGCCCAAGAAGUCCCUUGAGUCCAUCUUGCAUUUCUCCUGAGCUUUAUUCACCAGAGAGUAUGGGUUUGAAAUUGAAACCAAUUAAAACACGAAUUUCUGCGGAAAUUUAGUGAAAGUUUUGCUUAUCAUUCUACAAUUGAUUCUGAAACCAAACCCCAUUUUAGGAAAAAAACUAUGUUAGUAGCUUCUUGCUACCGAAAUUGACUCUCAAGAAAGAGAAUCCAAACAUGCAAGUAGAAGUAGAUGAAUUAGGGUCCGGUCUUUCUGAUUAACUUGUUGUAGAAGUUAAUAAAUCUGUGAUUUGUCGGAAAUAUAAUGGAGUUGUCAUAUUGUUGUAGAUAAGGAUAGAGGAAAACAAGAGGGAGAGUUUAGUUGAAUGCAGGAAAACAAAAGGGGGUGAGUUUAGUUGAAUGCAGUAAUUGUCACUGCUAUAAGGUGGAAAUGGUGGUCACAUUGCCAUUACUGCGCAAUCUCUUCAAUAUUUUCAUAUUGUUGGCAUCUUCUUCCUAGUGCCUUUUGCUACUUGUUAGGAAAUCAUAAGUAGAAGUGUUCAUUAUAUGUAAUAUUAUCAAUAUGUUAAAUGUUGUAAUCUUCAGUAAAAAACUUUCUUUAGACUCCUGGUCAGCAGAUUCUAAAUAUAAAGUUAUAUGUUUUCAA